UUUUUUUUUUUUUUUUUUUUUUUUUUUUUUAAAGGAGACUCCCUCGGCAAGAUGGCAGGAUGAGGGGUCUUCACUCCCAAUUUCUCACAUUAGCCGAUUCGAGGGCUCCUUGCAGUGGGAUCAGAAAAAAAUCCAGAGUGCGGGCAGGUGACAGUUCAAACCCCACCUGGAGCAAAUAAAAAAACAUACAAAACGUACUGGUGCUUUCCUGUCUAAGUCGCUUUUUGUGUGUUCUUUUAUGAGGCCCCCACCAUCCACCCUCUGUGCACAAGGCGGCUUCCAGCCCCUGGAACGUGAUGUUUUUGGUCAUCUCCAAAGGCUGCAGUUUUAUACUGGGAGGCUGAUGACACCUUUUGUUAUAAUUAUUCUUAUGGUUCUGGUUAUAAUUAUGUUUGUUUUCGGAUUUUCUUUAAGAAAACAAAAACCCAACCCCUCCUCCCUUUAGGUUUCAAAACAAGGUGCGGGGAGCAGGGUGCUUCUACGCUAGUGGUGGCCCUGGUGCCCUGGCUCCCCACCCCUCGGGCCAGGUGGGCCACUGGGCGCAGCGACAGCUGGGCGGCCAGGGGGUCCCCGAGGCUGGCCUUCCGGGCGCGGCCCUCUUCUCUUCUGCUUCCCUCCUCUCUAGUUGUGUGUCAGGGCUGGAGGGAGGACGGGGCGUCUCUCCCCCCGUGUGUGAUUGGAGUGCUGUGUCUUUCUUUUCUAGUACUUGGUCUGAUGAUAGCUGUGCUCUUACCUCGAGUCAGCAGCACCUGGAGCCCCAAGUGCGCGACACUUGGUCCCGCUUCCCACCGAGGCAGGCGGCCUGGCGUUGGCGGUGGACUGUCAAUCCCAGAAGUUGCUAGGUGCUGAAAGCAGGAAAAGGAGGAGGUUUUCUUUUAGCAGGUGCUCUCCUCUAGCAGGUAGCGUUUCUCUCUCUUUUGCCCCUGGUGAUGUCAAAAGAUUCUUCAGUUAGCAACCUGUGACACUGACCUGCAACCCUAGGCACCAGUCAAGUCAGCCCUCAGCUCCCCCUACCUAUUCUACCGAUUUCCAAAACGAAACUGACAUCCAGGGCUGUCUUGGCCAGGGGGCUUCCAUUCGGAAAAAAAAUGGGACCUCGAACCUCAUCUUGUGAAUAAAGCAAAUCAGUAGUUGGUGACAAAACUUCAACCAAGCUUUGAAUCCCUUGCUCAUUGCUCAGGAGGAAGCUCACGGCUGGCGGCCCCGGCCUCCUCCUUUUAGGGGUGCUUAGUCUGGACUCCACGAUACUCACUUCCUGCUCAGAUUGGUUUUUCGGAUCAUCCCCAGUUGCUCCCUGCCAGCUCCGCACUGUGACGGCAGGUGGUGACGAUGGGCUCCCGCGAGGGCCUGGAGCAGCUGGGGGGGAUCCCUGUGCCCCUCCCUCGUUGGAGUCUGUACCUAACUGUGGUGCUCACCCCGCCCCCUCCUUCUCCGGCCAGGCUCCAUCUUCCUGGCCUGGAGCCCACCAGCACCACUCCAGGAGGCUGGGGGAGGAGGGCUGCCGCAGGCAGUCCAAGGUGCUCCCUCCCCCGCCGGCCCGGCCAAGGUCUUCCCAGCCCCAGGGUCGGGAUGGUCUCGUCCUCUGCGCACAGACUUGCCAGCCCUUUGGGCUCUCCAGGGCCUCUUGUCUGCAGCUUGUGUGCAGGAGUUUGCCCUUCCCAGUGGUCCAAGCUCCACCCAAGGGGUCCAUGUGGUAGCCGAGGAUGUGGCUGAGCCUGUGGGGUCCGCGUGGGCCGGGCAGCUUGCUCCGUGGGGGCCUGGUGGUUGUGUCUGACACCUGUUCCUCCCAGUGUAGCGACCCGACUAGGCCCGAGGGGGCUAGAUGCGCCCUUGCAGGCGUGAGAGUUAAUCACCAGCUUUCCUUGCAGCCACACCCGUGGGCUCGGCCCCACAGCAGAACUUGGUAGGGUACAGGGACCUUGGGACUGUGCCAUCUUGGCCAAGCCCGGGCACUCUUCACAGUCUGCUUCCAACCCUGGGGGUGCUUCUGGGGACAGAAAUCGGGCCACCUUCGGAAGGGGAUUUGUGCCUGGACAGGCUGGGGCGAGGCUGUGUGGGGAUGAAGACGGGGGAUGGUUAUCCUUGCUGUGCGCCAGGCUGAGGGUAGAGGCAGGAGAGACCAAGCUAGGGAAAGUUCUGGAGCCUGUUCCCUGGAGGGAGGGGCUUCUUUCUGAAGAACAGGCCCAUUUAACAAAUCCCUAGAACCUGAGGAUGCUGUCCCCUACGUCCCGCAGGUGCCAAGUGGAGUGUGGUGCCAAAGACACCUGUGGCUCUGGCCCCGGGGGAGGUAGCCGGGGCUCCGGCCAGGGUCACAGAGCCCUGGGUCGCCUGCCCCAGGAGGAAGCUUGUCUCCAGCAGGUGGCUGCUGAGCCCCUUCCCUGGGGACUGACCAAAGGCUGGGGUGCAGCGGGUGAGGACUGGGGGGUCUUGCAGUCAGUGGGUGACAGCCCCGUGUACCACUGUCCGUUUUUCUUUCUAGACCCCAGACCCUUCCUGCUAUCGAACCUUCUGCUAGGAAGCAAAUUUCCCAAAAGAGCAUGCAGGACCGCUUAGCUUUUGAGACGGGCCAGGAGUGGUUGGCUGGCGAAGAUGCCUGUGUGGGUUUUUGGUGAGUCGCUAGGCUUUGGGGCAGGCAGACCCGGCAGGGAGGGAAGCUGGUGGCAGUGGGCUGCUGAGGGCCGGCUCCCCUGACUUUUCCCGGGGCGGCAAGGUGGGAAGAGCCCACCGGCUCCAGCACAGGCAGGGCUGUGACCGCAGCGAGGGAAGGACCACUUCAGUGGAGCCGUUCGGGGACUGGUCUCGGUCUUGGUCUCUGGGAUGACAUCAGUAGAGAGAACGUGGAUCUGGGAGGCGGUUCUGAAUUCCUGUGGCUGUUCUGCUCGGUGCAGAGACGCCCUGGCACUGGUGUCUUUCAGAGGUGUCAUUUUCAGGAGACUCGCAGGCUUCGAGCGGUGGGGCCUGCCUGGCACCGUGAUCUGACGAGGGCUGGUCGUUUCUGUGGUCAGGGCAGCAGCAGAGCAGAGAGGCUGGUGAGAGCUGGGUUUCUAGCCAGACCCCGUUUGGACCCCAGGAGGUGAGGACUCUGAAUUUGUCAUUGGGCAUGGUCCAGGCUGGAUGCUCCCAGCGCUUGUGGUUAGAGGUGACACUGGAGUUGUCCUGCCCUCUUUCCUCCACCUUGGGAGGGAUGGUGUAGAGCUGGAGUGGCCCUCCUGGCCGUUCCCUGCCCAGGCAGGGAUUAGCCACAAGUGUUCGGAGGAUCCAAGAGGAAAGAGAAUAGAUUUCUGUCAAGGGUGGAUGCCACUGUUCUAGCAGGAGCUCGCAAAUCUUUACGUUUUGGUAAAGGAAGGCUGAGGUCUUUAGGAGGCGAGGGCGCCCUUGUACUUCAGAGUCCCGGCCGAGCGUGGCUUUGGUUGGUGACCUGCUGUUCACCACUGACCCUCGGCAGCAGAGUUCGGGGAGAGGGAGAAACAAGCAGGUCGCAGGCAGGAAGGACGAGGAGGGAGGGGGGGCCCUUGGCCCUUUGCGACUGACUAAGUUGCCCAAACCGAGGCCCGCAGUCUCCUGUGACUCCAGUAACUGGAACCCCCCCUCCCCCCAGGGGCGUGGGAGGGCGGCUCUCUCACCCUCCCAUCCCCCCACCCCCCAUUCCCCCCACCCCCACUUCCUCCGGGGGGGGGGGGCCUCCAGCCCUGGGCCUGAGGACAUGAGCAGGGAUCAGAGAGCAUCACCUGAGUCCCAUUUCACUUCACAGACUGAUUUGGUUGCACAGCCCUAGAAUCCAACCAACCCCCCAAAUGCUGAAAUUCCUUAGAAUACGCAGAGGGAGGAGGUGACUCAACAAGGUGCUAAAACAUUUUAUUAAAAAUAUAUAUUGUUAAAUUAAGUCUGCUGUCUGGACAAUGACUGUUUGUUUUGUUUUCUUGUAGUGGAGUUUAAAAGAGACUAUUAUUUUACUCUGAUAUAUUAUUAUUAAAAAGGCAUUUUAACUUUGUACUUGAAAACUAAAUGAGCGAUUUCAUGUGUUUUAGCUGAGGCAUUGAAGUAGCGGGUGCUUACCUAUUUGUGGGAAAUCAUGUAUUCAUACUGAAGAAUAAAAUCCGUAGCUGAUUUGGUAAUAACUUUUACUGUUACAGACGAUUUCGCUUUGACCCCCGGCGGGAGAGCACUUUUACUGCACAUUCCACGCAGCUAAAUGCAGGACUUACUCCCCGGACCCUUCCCCUCCCAGCCCUGUUUCCUUUCUCUUCAGUUCCUCUUCUGACUCUCUGUCGUUGUUGUUUUUUUCUUUUCUUUUUUUUUCUUCCUUCCUGGUUCCAGCAUCCUUUCACCACUGUAUUUUUUUUUUUUUUUUUUUUUUAGGGUUGCUUCUCUAUUUAUUGACAAUAAUAAUGUACAUUUCACAGUCUGGUUCUGGAACGCUGGGGAGGGGCGCGAGUGAGAGGGCCCUGGUGGGUCCCCACUCCCGCCUCCCGGGGUUCCCGUUGUAUCUCUGUGUAAGUGAUGCUCGUGACAUAGCUGUUUAUGAAAUAAUUAUAAAGAGGUCAGUGCGUACAGCAGAUGUAGAAAGUCUGUCAGUUCCGCCUUCAUCACAUAUUUUUUUUUUUUUGUGCCCAAAAUAUAAUAAAGCUCCUUUCUAAUGUACUUGUGCUGGAGAACACUUGAAUAAAUGGACUGUUUUUGUGCAAAAAG
rnacentral:lncRNA from 1 species